rnacentral:rRNA from 1 species
CACGUAGGCGGCCGUGUAAGUCAGAUGUGAAAGCCCCGGGCUUAACCUGGGAACUGCAUUUGAUACUGUACGGCUUGAGUCUGAUAGGGGGGGGUGGAAUUCCCGGUGUAACGGUGGAAUGUGUAGAUAUCGGGAAGAACACCAAUGGCGAAGGCAGGUCUCUGGGCCGUCACUGACGCUGAGGAGCGAAAGCGUGGGGAGCGAACA